rnacentral:rRNA from 1 species
CCUACGGUGGGCAGCAGUGGGGGAUAUUGGACAAUGGGGGGAACCCUGAUCCAGCGACGCCGCGUGAGUGAAGAAGUAUUUCGGUAUGUAAAGCUCUGUCAGCAGGGAAGAAAGAAAUGACGGUACCUGACCAAGAAGCCCCGGCUAACUACGUGCCAGCAGCCGCGGUAAUACGUAGGGGGCAAGCGUUAUCCGGAAUUACUGGGUGUAAAGGGAGCGUAGACGGUUAAGUAAGUCUGGAGUGAAAGGCCGGGGCACAACCCCGGGACUGCUCUGGAAACUAUUGAACUUGAGUGCAGGAGAGGUAAGCGGAAUUCCUAGUGUAGCGGUGAAAUGCGUAGAUAUUAGGAGGAACACCAGUGGCGAAGGCGGCUUACUGGACUGUAACUGACGUUGAGGCUCGAAAGCGUGGGGAGCAAACAGGAUUAGAUACCCCAGUAGUC